rnacentral:rRNA from 1 species
GAUGAACGCUGGCGGCGUGCCUAAUACAUGCAAGUCGAGCGAACGGACGAGAAGCUUGCUUCUCUGAUGUUAGCGGCGGACGGGUGAGUAACACGUGGAUAACCUACCUAUAAGACUGGGAUAACUUCGGGAAACCGGAGCUAAUACCGGAUGAUAUUUUGAACCGCAUGGUUCAAAAGUGAAAGACGGUCUUGCUGUCACUUAUAGAUGGAUCCGCGCUGCAUUAGCUAGUUGGUAAGGUAACGGCUUACCAAGGCAACGAUGCAUAGCCGACCUGAGAGGGUGAUCGGCCACACUGGAACUGAGACACGGUCCAGACUCCUACGGGAGGCAGCAGUAGGGAAUCUUCCGCAAUGGGCGAAAGCCUGACGGAGCAACGCCGCGUGAGUGAUGAAGGUCUUCGGAUCGUAAAACUCUGUUGUUAGGGAAGAACAUAUGUGUAAGUAACUGUGCACAUCUUGACGGUACCUAAUCAGAAAGCCACGGCUAACUACGUG